rnacentral:rRNA from 1 species
CACACUGUAAACGAUGAAUGCUAGGUGUAGGGGGUAUCGACCCCUUCUGUGCCGCAGUUAACACAGUAAGCAUUCCGCCUGGGGAGUACGGUCGCAAGAUUAAAACUCAAAGGAAUUGACGGGGGCCCGCACAAGCAGCGGAGCAUGUGGUUUAAUUCGAAGCAACGCGAAGAACCUUACCAGGUCUUGACAUCCAGGUAAAGCUGCAGAGAUGCAGUGUGUGCUUGCACAAUCUGAGACAGGUGG